rnacentral:rRNA from 1 species
UACAUAGGGGGCAAGCGUUGUCCGGAAUCACUGGGCGUAAAGAGAGCGUAGGCGGUUUAGCAAGUCAUGGGUGAAAGCCCGGAGCUUAACUCCGGAAUUGCCCCUGAAACUGCUUUACUUGAGUAUGGGAGAGGAAGAUGGAAUUCCAAGUGUAGCGGUGGAAUGCGUAGAUAUUUGGAGGAACAUCGGUGGCGAAGGCGAUCUUCUGGAACAUUACUGACGCUGAGGCUCGAAAGCGUGGGGAGCAAAC